AUUGAACGCUGGCGGCAGGCUUAACACAUGCAAGUCGAGCGGAGAUGAGGUGCUUGCACCUUAUCUUAGCGGCGGACGGGUGAGUAAUGCUUAGGAAUCUGCCUAUUAGUGGGGGACAACAUUCCGAAAGGAAUGCUAAUACCGCAUACGUCCUACGGGAGAAAGCAGGGGAUCUUCGGACCUUGCGCUAAUAGAUGAGCCUAAGUCGGAUUAGCUAGUUGGUGGGGUAAAGGCCUACCAAGGCGACGAUCUGUAGAGGGUCUGAGAGGAUGAUCCGCCACACUGGGACUGAGACACGGCCCAGAGUCCUACGGGAGGUAGCAGUGGGGAAUAUUGGACAAUGGGGGGAACCCUGAUCCAGCCAUGCCGCGUGUGUGAAGAAGGCCUUAUGGUUGUAAAGCACUUUAAGCGAGGAGGAGGCUACUGAGACUAAUACUCUUGGAUAGUGGACGUUACUCGCAGAAUAAGCACCGGCUAACUCUGUGCCAGCCGCCGCCGUAAAAC
rnacentral:rRNA from 1 species